rnacentral:lncRNA from 1 species
GGAGCCGCGCAUCGGUCCCUGCGGUAACAGGUGCGGGAGGGGCGGCGGCGCUUCGCCCCCAGCGGGGCGCGCGGCUGCGCCUCGGCUGGGGUGUGCGGAGGGGCGAGGGCGCGGAGUGAGCCCGGAGGCGGCUGGGAUCUGGCAGCGCCGGCUGCGGUUUGGCUCGGCACCGAGACCUCGCGGGAGAUUUCAGCACAGUUGCCUGUGACAGCUCCUGUUGAGUAAACUGAGACGAGAACUUCUUGUAUCAGCUGUUGUACCGGUACCUGCCACAAUGAGAAGUUGCAUAAGGAUAGCUUACACUAAAAGGUUAAAAAAUGAACUAUUACAGAGAAGCAUAGAUGCCAUUCUGUUCAGCUGCAUUGGUUCCAUUUGCAGUAGAAGAAAGCUAGCCCUCCAUGCUUGAUUCGGGGUUGAGUUUUCCUUCUACAUUGUCAUCAGAUGUUGAAUCUGUAUUCCACUUGUAGAAAAUACAAGCUUUCUCUGUAAAAUGUGUCCUGGUAUCAGAUUAAAACAGAGCUAUGUGUGCACUGAAAACAUUCAGGCUUCCUGCCUCCUAUUUUGGUUUAGAUGAACAUUUAGGCCAUUAAGUUUUCAAUUGCAUCUUGUUUGUGUGGAAGCUUUCUAGGUGUGCGAUGAAACACUUUCGUGUUUUCUCUCAACUUAGAAAGUAGGUAGGCAGCUCAGUAAUAAGAGCCACUCAUUGUUCCUUGGAUUUGAGAUAAUGGUUCAGUAUUUCAUCUUUGGGAAACCAUAAAUGCAUAUGCGCUUCACUGUGAAUGUAGAUAUCUGAAGGAACCAUAUUGAAGAAGCGUGGUUUUUUUUACAAGCCGGAAGUAGCAGGAUUAGUCAACUUCCAUUUGUCCAUCCUCUUUUUCAUCUGAUAGCUUCUCUGAGAUUUUUAGUGGAAGCUCGGUGAUCUGACUUAAUGCUCUUCUGCUGGGAGUGGCUUUAACCAGACAGAAACUUUGCAUC